AACGCGAAGAACCUUACCUGGCCUUGACAUGCAUUUAGUAGGAGCCUGAAAGGGCGACGAGGUAGCAAUACCAGGAUGCACAGGUGCUGCAUGGCUGUCGUCAGCUCGUGUCGUGAGAUGUUGGGUUAAGUCCCGCAACGAGCGCAACCCUUGUGUCCUGUUGCCAUCCGGACGAGAGUCUGGAGCACUCUGGACAGACUGCCUCGCUUAAACGAGGAGGAAGGUGGGGAUGACGUCAAGUCAGUAUGGCCCUUACGGCCAGGGCUGCACACGUACUACAAUGCCCGACACAAAGGGAAGCGAGACCGUCAGGUGGAGCAAAUCCCAAAAAAUCGGGCCCAGUUCAGAUCGCAGGCUGCAACUCGCCUGCGUGAAGCCGGAAUCGCUAGUAAUGGCGCAUCAGCUACGGCGCCGUGAAUACGUUCCCGGGCCUUGUACACACCGUACGUC
rnacentral:rRNA from 1 species